ACUGUUGCUAAUAUGCAACUCU
rnacentral:miRNA from 5 species